GACGAACGCUGGCGGCGUGCUUAACACAUGCAAGUCGAACGUGAUUUUUAUGGAAGAACCUUCGGGGACGGAAGUAAAAUGAAAGUGGCGAACGGGUGAGUAACACGUGAGCAACCUACCUUACACAGGGGGAUAGCCGUUGGAAACAACGAUUAAUACCGCAUGAGACCACAAUACUGCAUGGUAUAGGGGUCAAAGAUUUAUCGGUGUAAGAUGGGCUCGCGUCUGAUUAGCUAGUUGGAAGGGUAAAGGCCUACCAAGGCAACGAUCAGUAGCCGGUCUGAGAGGAUGAACGGCCACACUGGAACUGGGACACGGUCCAG
rnacentral:rRNA from 1 species